rnacentral:rRNA from 1 species
AGGACAAACGUUGGCGGUGCGUCUUAGACAUGCAAGUCGAGCGUGAAAGCCCGCAAGGGUGAGUAAAGCGGCGAACGGGUGAGUAAUACUUGGGUAACGUACCUUCUAGAUUGGGAUAACGCACCGAAAGGUGUGCUAAUACCAGAUAUGACCACGAUUUCUUCGGAGGUUGAGGUAAAAGAUGGCGCAAGCUAUCACUGGAAGAUCGGCUCAAGCACCAUUAGCUAGUUGGCGGGGUAAUGGCCCACCAAGGCUACGAUGGUUAGCCGGCCUGAGAGGGUGAUCGGCCACACUGGGACUGAGAUACGGCCCAGACUCCUACGGGAGGCAGCAGUUUGGAAUAUUCCACAAUGGACGCAA